AUUGAACGCUGGCGGCAUGCCUUACACAUGCAAGUCGAACGGCAGCACGGGAGCAAUCCUGGUGGCGAGUGGCGAACGGGUGAGUAAUAUAUCGGAACGUGCCCAGUCGUGGGGGAUAACGCAGCGAAAGCUGUGCUAAUACCGCAUACGAUCUACGGAUGAAAGCGGGGGAUCGCAAGACCUCGCGCGAUGGGAGCGGCCGAUAUCAGAUUAGCUAGUUGGGGGGGUAAAAGCCCACCAAGGCGACGAUCUGUAGCUGGUCUGAGAGGACGGCCAGCCACACUGGAACUGAGACACGGUCCAGACUCCUACGGGAGGCAGCAGUGGGGAAUUUUGGACAAUGGGCGCAAGCCUGAUCCAGCAAUGCCGCGUGCAGGAUGAAGGCCUUCGGGUUGUAAACUGCUUUUGUACGGAACGAAACGGCUCUUUCUAAUAAAGAGGGCUAAUGACGGUACCGUAAGAAUAAGCACCGGCUAACUACGUGCCAGCCGCCGCAGUAA
rnacentral:rRNA from 1 species